rnacentral:rRNA from 1 species
CUCGCCUGCAUGAAGUCGGAAUUGCUAGUAAUCGUAGGUCAGCAUACUACGGUGAAUACGUUCCCGGGCCUUGUACACACCGCCCGUCAAACCAUGAGAGUUGGCAACACCCGAAGUCGGUAGUCUAACCGCAAGGAGGACGCCGCCGAAGGUGGGGUUGAUGAUUAGGGUUAAGUCGUAACAAGGUAAC